rnacentral:rRNA from 1 species
UACAGAGGUCUCAAGCGUUGUUCGGAUUCAUUGGGCGUAAAGGGUGCGUAGGCGGCGCGGUAAGUCGGGUGUGAAAUCUCGGGGCUCAACCCCGAGCGGUCGUGAGAAACUGGCAGGCUAGAGUGCGGGAGAGGAGAGUGGAAUUCCUGGUGUAGCGGUGAAAUGCGCAGAUAUCAGGAAGAACACCCGUGGCGAAGGCGGCUCUCUGGAACGCAACUGACGCUGAGACGCGAAAGCGUGGGGAGCAAACAGG